rnacentral:snRNA from 1 species
UUGCUUCGGCAGCACAUAGACUAAAGUUGGAACGAUACAGAGAUUAGCAUGGACCCUGUGCAAGAAUGACAAAUUCGUGAAGCGUUCCAUAUUAAA